GGACAAACUGGGAGGGACUGGGUUACACCUACAGCCUGGCCAGGAACCAGACCCUGAAGCUGGCCGUGGUGGAGAAAGCGCGGAGGGACCUGGCGUCCAUCGUGUCCGAGAUCCUGAUGUACGUGCUCAUCGUGGUGCUGACGCUCUGGCUCGCCGCCGAGAUGCUUUACUGCUACCGCAAGGUGGCGGCCGCGUCCCCGCCCCCCGACAGCGCGUCGGAGUACUUGGCCAUCACCUCGGAGAGCAAAGAGAAUUGUGGUGGCGUCCAGGUGGCCGAGUGACCCCGAGUGACCUUUGACCCCCGAGUGACCCCGAGUGACCCCGAGUGACCCCUGAGUGACCUUUGACCCCUCUCCCCAGGCCCCCCCCUGCAAUAAAACCCCCCUGGGGGGCCCCUCCCCCACCCCUGACCCCGCAUGGCCCGACCCCGCCCCCACCCCAAAUUUGGCGGGAAAAAAAAAAUUUAAAAAAUUCCAAAAAAAUUUUUUUGGGGAAAAAAAAAAAUCCCAAAAAAUUU